UUACGACCAGAUCACGUUGAAACACCAAUUCCCGUACGAUCACCGAAGUUAAGCAACGUCGAGCCUGGUCAGUACCUAGAUUGAUAACCACUUGUGAAUACUAGGUGUUGUAC